UACGUAGGGCGCAAGCGUUAUCCGGAAUUAUUGGGCGUAAAGAGCUCGUAGGCGGUUUGUCGCGUCUGCCGUGAAAGUCCGGGGCUCAACUCCGGAUCUGCGGUGGGUACGGGCAGACUAGAGUGAUGUAGGGGAGACUGGAAUUCCUGGUGUAGCGGUGAAAUGCGCAGAUAUCAGGAGGAACACCAUGCGGAAGGCAGCUCGCUGG
rnacentral:rRNA from 1 species